GUGGGGAAUCUUGCGCAAUGGGCGAAAGCCUGACGCAGCCAUGCCGCGUGAAUGAUGAAGGUCUGGAUUGUAAAAUUCUUUCACCGGGGACGAUAAUGACGGUACCCGGAGAAGAAGCUCCGGCUAACUUCGUGCCAGCAGCCGCGGUAAUACGAAGGGGGCUAGCGUUGCUCGGAAUUACUGGGCGUAAAGGGCGCGUAGGCGGACAGCUUAGUCAGAGGUGAAAGCCCAGGGCUCAACCUUGGAAUUGCCUUUGAUACUGGCUGUCUUGAGUUUGGGAGAGGUGAGUGGAACUCCGAGUGUAGAGGUGAAAUUCGUAGAUAUUCGGAAGAACACCAGUGGCGAAGGCGACUCACUGGCCCAAUACUGACGCUGAGGCGCGAAAGCGUGGGGAGCAAACAGGAUUAGAAACCCGUGUAGUCC
rnacentral:rRNA from 1 species